rnacentral:rRNA from 1 species
UACGAGUGCCUCGAGCGUUAUCCGGAAUCAUUGGGCGUAAAGGGUGUGUAGGUGGUCAUGUUAGUCUCUCGUUAAAUUCUUCGGCUUAACCGGGGGUCUGCGGGGGAAACGGCAUGACUUGAGGAUGCGAGGGGUCUGCGGAACUCAUAGUGUAGCGGUGAAAUGCGUUGAUAUUAUGGGGAACACCAAAAGCGAAGGCAGCAGACUGGAGCACUCCUGACACUGAAACACGAAAGCGUGGGUAGCGAAUGGG